UAUAUGUCGUGUGUCGUGAGUUAAAAGUCGUGUGUCGUGGGUAAAGUCGUGGGUAAAGUCGUGGGUAAAGUCGUGGGUAAAGUCGUGGGUAAAGUCGUGGGUCAUAAAAUGUGCUAAAAACGCAUUUUUUCACAAAAAUAUUAUUUUUAUUUUUAAUAUUUUUUUCGUACCCUUUCCUUUCAUGCGCUACAUAAAUACAGGAAAAUUUAACGCAACAAAUCUCCAGUAAUAAAAUAAUAUACAUGUUGUUUCUUAUCUUGCUGUUAUCUAUUGUAUAAGAAGUAAAUGUGUCCGUUUCGUAUAGUCUAAUAAGUCUAUAGAUAUACUGCUUGAUGAUAAAAUGUCUUAAGUUAUAGGAUAUAGGUUUAUUAGCUUUGGAAGUGUUAUAGUCCCUAUCACGAACGUCGCGAAUAACUAUGUCGACAUAUGUCUGAUACAAACAUAGUGAGCUAUAAAUUGUACGCUGUAUUGAGUGUAAAGACUGUAAAGUGGCCAACGCUCGAGUCUCAAAUUUUGCUAUUUUAUCUUAGUCCUAGUAUAUGUUCGUGGCCCUUAAUAAAGAUAGACAAACAUUUCAUGUGAUGUGGCGUUCGGACUGAAUAUGCCAUAAAUUGCU